rnacentral:rRNA from 1 species
UACGGGGGGGGCAAGCGUUGUUCGGAAUUACUGGGCGUAAAGGGCUCGUAGGUGGCCAACUAAGUCAGACGUGAAAUCCCUCGGCUUAACCGGGGAACUGCAUCUGAUACUGGAUGGCUUGAGUUUGGGAGAGGGACGCGGAAUUCCAGGUGUAGCGGUGAAAUGCGUAGAUAUCGGAAGGAACAUCAGUGACGAAAGCGGCUUCCUGGUCCAGCACCGACGUUCAGGCACGAAAGCGUGGGGAGCAAACAGG